rnacentral:ncRNA from 1 species
GCCGCCGGUUCCGGUUCGGGCCGGCGGAGAAUAGUGAAUCCGGUCAGAAUCCGGAACGGUACCGCCACUGUAUGCGCGGAGGCCGUGCACGCGGCGAAAGCCAGUCAUUGGGGGCAGCGCCCCUGAGAAGGCAGUGCACCGGCUGGGGAGGCGCGAGUCAGGAGACCUGCUUGAAUG